CGGUAAUUCCAGCUCCAAUAGCGUAUACUAAAGUUGUUGCAGUUAAAAAGCUCGUAGUUGGAUUUCUGCGGGGACGGAGCGGCCGGACGCAACUUGCGUCUCGAGCUAGCGCUUUCCCCGCAUCCUGCCGCGAACCGUGCUACCAUUAGCUUGGUGGCGCUGGGGAUCGGCUCGAUUACUUUGAGAAAAAUAGAGUGUUCAAAGCAGGCCACACGCCUUGAAUAAGUUAGCAUGGAAUAAUGACUAAGGACUUCGGUUCUAUUUUGUUGGUGUUCGGGACUGAAGUAAUGAUUGAUAGGGACAGUUGGGGCGGUCUGUAUUCCAAAGCGAGAGGUGAAAUUCUUAGACCUUCGGAAGACAAACAGCUGCGAAAGCGUUCCGCAAGGAUGUUCCCUUUGAUCGAGAACGAAAGUUGGGGGAUCGAAGACGAUCAGAUACCGUCGUAGUCUCAACUAUAAACUAUACCAGCUAGGGAUCGGUCAACGUUUAAUCAUUCGACUUGAUCGGCACCUUAUGAGAAAUCAAAGCAUCUGGGUUCCGGGGGGAGUAUGGUCGCAAGGCUGAAACUUAAAGGAAUUGACGGAAGGGCACCACCAGCCGUGGAGCCUGUGGCUUAAUUUGACUCAACACGGGAAAACUUACCAGGUCCAGACAUAGUAAGGAUUGACAGAUUGAUAGCUCUUUCUUGAUUCUGUGGGUGGUGGUGCAUGGCCGUUCUUAGUUGGUGGAGUGAUUUGUCUGGUUAAUUCCGUUAACGAACGAGACCCCAGCCUGCUAAAUAGCGCGGCUGAGCUUUGCUCGGUGCGAGCUUCUUAGAGGGACUAUGAUGCGCGAUAGCACAUGGAAGUUUGGGGCAAUAACAGGUCUGUGAUGCCCUUAGAUGUUCUGGGCCGCACACGGGCUACACUGGCGCCUGCAACGAGCAUAUCAGCUGGCCCGAGAGGGUCUUGGCUAAUCUUUUGAACCGGCGCCGUGCUUGGGAUUGACCAUUGCAAUUGUUGGUCAUGCAACGAGGAAUGCCUUGUAAACGCGAGUCAUCAGCUCGCAUUGAAUACGUCCCUGCCCUUUGUACACACCGCCCGUCGCUCCUACCGAUGAAUGUUCCGAUGAAAUUUUCGGAGAGCGCCAGAGAACGGGGCUCUGCCUUGCAGAUCUGGAGGCUCAAAGUCACUUAAAUCUGAACAUUUCGAGGAAGGAGAAGUCGUAACAAGGUAGCCG
rnacentral:rRNA from 1 species